rnacentral:SRP_RNA from 1 species
UGAGAGAAGUUGAUAAGCUUUACUAUGCUUAAUCUGUCAGGUCUGGAAAGAAGCAGCAGGGGCAUGCGUAACGUUGUAUUAACUUCUCUCUGUUUU